CCCAGGGAUCGAACCUGUGUCUUUUGCAUCUCCUGCAUUGACAGGUGGAUUCUCUACCACUGGCGCCACCUGGGCAGCCAUGACCAGCACCAGAUGUACAGAGAUGGUCAUGGACCAAGGUUGGGGGUCCAGGGGACACUGGGCUGGGAGUCCAGGCUCCACCUCUGCCCCGCUUCACCUUUCAUUGUGUCCUCCCCUCUUUAGGUCUCAGUCCUACAUUUUCUCUCAGCUGUCCCGUUCCUGAUGUUUCUGACUGGGGACAAGGCAAAUGGAAAUUCUGGGGUUGACGUUUGGCCUUUCAUAGCCCGCAGGCCCUGGGAGACAAUCGAAUGGGGUGGUGUCCCAAGUGAGCUCCCUGUGGUUCAAGACGCUAACCACACGGCUGCCAGUGCCUGUCUACUCCUCAAGGGCCAGAGGCGAGACCUCACACCGUCUCCGCGGCUACCAGUGGACAGAGGGUGAGGGGCAGCGCCUGGAGGUGCCUGCCGUGCAGCUGGCCUCUGGGCAGCUGUCUCUCCACCCCCCGCCCUCUUGGCCCUCCGCUUCGACUUGCCCUCCCCACUGCUUGCUGCUGGCUUUCCCAAAGGGAAAGAGCCUUUCUGAAGGCCUCUCUCAACAUCAAGUCUGGCCCUGUUGCUCCACUACUUAGAAGCUGCCCUUAGAAAUGGACUUAGCCAGAAAGAGCAGGUUAGGAACGAACCCGUGGGGACGUCUGAAGGCCGGUGUGCCCGUCUGGCGGCCCAGCCUGGCGCUGGCGCUCCCCGCAGCGGUGGCGGACCUUGAAACCUUCUCCGUAGGCUCCGUCAGCUCCCAGCCUCGACAGGCUGCCCUUCUCUCCCAGCUCACUUUCGGGCUCGCCCUCUGGGGGUCGUCUGCUGAGAGUGACAAGGGGUACAGGGUACGCCUUGAGAGGAGUUCAUUGACCACACGGAGAUCCUCCCUGACCUGAGUCCCGGCUGCCGCCAGCAAGGCUGGCCCGUGGCAUCAGAGCAGAGGGCAUGUGGCAGGUGGCCUAGGCCUGGGAGCAUAGUUCGGGGUGCACACUGCACGGGGAAUGGGUGGCAGAGAGCCUCCUGGGGGAGGUUGGUGCCAAAUGAACUGGCCUCUAGUCACUGCUCACCAGCUGUAUAUAACCGCACCUGUCUGAGUGCCAGUCACUUACCUGUGAAAUGAGUCUGGUGGAUUUUUGGAUCUCAAAAGGAAGGUGUUCCAGGGGCAGACUUUGCCACGGCCAGUAUGGGAAGUGGCCAGAAUCAGGGAAGAGGCUGGGAACGUCCCUCCCACCCCCACCUCACCUGGGCCCUGCGCUUCCACUUUUGAGCUGGACCGGGCCAAAGCCCACCUGGCCUCCAAGGGUCUGUAUUCAGAAUGAAUGAGGAGCUCCUGCAGCCAAUUAGAAGGACUAACCCAGGAAGAUGGGCGACGGGUACGAAUAGGCAAUUCACAGGUUGGCCGGUAAACUCCUGAAGAUAAUCAGCUCUAAUAAUUCUCCUAACGGCAAAAACUAGGAGACGGAAAACAGCCUGUGCCGACAAGGUCAGGAGUCAGGCCCCCACUCACGCGGGAGGCUGGGUGGGGCCCACCGGCGGGGAAAACACUCGUGAUGUUGGGUCCAGCAGUACCUUUUGGGGGUAUCUUACUCCAGAUGAAUACUGGCCCGAGUGCCAGGUUCCAUGUACGAUGCUCACUGCUAUGGUUUUUGUUCACGCUUAACUCUUUACAGUUUUAUGAGAGAAUUCAACCUUAAUUUUAUAGGCAGACCUCAGAGAUACUGCAGGCUCCGUUCCGGACACCACGAUAAAGCAAGUAUUGCAAUAAAAGGAGACACAAAAAUAUUUUGGCUUCCCCAGGCAUGUGAACAUUACAUUCACACUACAGCAAAGUUUACUAACUGUGUAAUAGUCAUAUGUCUAAAAAAACCAUGUUCAGUUCAGUUGCUCAUGUCGGACGCUUUGCAACCCCAUGGACUGCGGCAUGCCAAGCUUCC